UACGUAGGGUGCAGGCGUUAAUCGGAAUUACUGGGCGUAAAGCGUGCGCAGGCGGUCUGCUAAGAGAGGUGUGAAAUCCCCGGGCUUAACCUGGGAACUGCGCUUCUAACUGGCAGGCUUGAGUGUGGCAGAGGGGGGUGGAAUUCCACGUGUAGCAGUGAAAUGCGUAGAGAUCAGGAGGAACACCCGGGGCGAAGGCGGCCCUCUGGCUCGACCCUGACGCUGAGGCGCGAAAGCGUGGGGAGCGAACAGG
rnacentral:rRNA from 1 species